UACGUAGGGUGCAAGCGUUAAUCGGAAUUACUGGGCGUAAAGCGUGCGCAGGCGGUUUUGUAAGUCUGACGUGAAAGCCCCGGGCUCAACCUGGGAAUUGCGUUGGAGACUGCAAGGCUUGAAUCUGGCAGAGGGGAGUAGAAUUCCACGUGUAGCAGUGAAAUGCGUAGAGAUGUGGAGGAACACCGAUGGCGAAGGCAGCCCCCUGGGUCAAGAUUGACGCUCAUGCACGAAAGCGUGGGGAGCAAACAGG
rnacentral:rRNA from 1 species